GACGUAGGGGGCAAGCGUUGUCCGGAAUUAUUGGGCGUAAAGAGCUCGUAGGCGGUUUGUUGCGUCGGCUGUGAAAUCCCGAGGCUCAACCUCGGGUCUGCAGUCGAUACGAGCAAACUAGAGUGUUGCAGGGGAGACUGGAAUUCCUGGUGUAGCGGUGAAAUGCGCAGAUAUCAGGAGGAACACCGGUGGCGAAGGCGGGUCUCUGGGCAACAACUGACGCUGAGGAGCGAAAGCGUGGGGAGCGGACAGG
rnacentral:rRNA from 1 species